rnacentral:miRNA from 1 species
AGACCUGAGAGCGUGACCGCU